rnacentral:rRNA from 1 species
GAUGAACGCUGGCGGCGUGCCUAAUACAUGCAAGUCGAGCGAACAGACGAGGAGCUUGCUCCUCUGACGUUAGCGGCGGACGGGUGAGUAACACGUGGAUAACCUACCUAUAAGACUGGGAUAACUUCGGGAAACCGGAGCUAAUACCGGAUAAUAUAUUGAACCGCAUGGUUCAAUAGUGAAAGACGGUUUUGCUGUCACUUAUAGAUGGAUCCGCGCCGCAUUAGCUAGUUGGUAAGGUAACGGCUUACCAAGGCAACGAUGCGUAGCCGACCUGAGAGGGUGAUCGGCCACACUGGAACUGAGACACGGUCCCGACUCCUACGGGAGGCAGCAGUAGGGAAUCUUCCGCAAUAGGCGAAAGCCUGACGGAGCAACGCCGCGUGAGUGAUGAAGGUCUUCGGAUCGUAAAACUCUGUUAUUAGGGAAGAACAAAUGUGUAAGUAACUAUGCACGUCUUGACGGUACCUAAUCAGAAAGCCACGGCUAACUACGUG